UACGUAGGGUGCGAGCGUUAAUCGGAAUUACUGGGCGUAAAGCGUGCGCAGGCGGCUUUGCAAGACAGAUGUGAAAUCCCCGGGCUCAACCUGGGAACUGCAUUUGUGACUGCAAGGCUAGAGUACGGCAGAGGGGGAUGGAAUUCCGCGUGUAGCAGUGAAAUGCGUAGAUAUGCGGAGGAACACCAAUGGCGAAGGCAAUCCCCUGGGCCUGUACUGACGCUCAUGCACGAAAGGGUGGGGAGCAAACAGG
rnacentral:rRNA from 1 species